ensembl:snRNA U6 U6 spliceosomal RNA
GUGCUCCCUUCGGUAGCACAUACAUCAAAAUUGGAAUGAUAUUGAGAAGAUUAGCAAGGCCUUGAGCAAGGAUGAUAUGCAAAUUCGUGAAGCAUUUUGUAUUUUU